rnacentral:rRNA from 1 species
CAGGACGAACGCUGGCGGCGUGCCUAACACAUGCAAGUCGAACGGGGAUUUGUUUCGGCAGAAUCCUAGUGGCGAACGGGUGAGUAACGCGUAGGCAACCUGCCCUCCGGCCGGGGACAACACUCCGAAAGGGGUGCUAAUACCGGAUACGAAGUCUGUGCCGCAUGGUACGGAUUUGAAAGAUGGCCUCUAUUUAUAAGCUAUCGCCGGGGGAUGGGCCUGCGUCCGAUUAGCUGGUUGGUGGGGUAACGGCCUACCAAGGCGACGAUCGGUAGCCGGUCUGAGAGGAUGAACGGCCACAUUGGGACUGAGACACGGCCCAGACUCCUACGGGAGGCAGCAGUGGGGAAUCUUCCGCAAUGGGCGCAAGCCUGACGGAGCAACGCCGCGUGAGUGAGGAAGUUCUUCGGAACGUAAAGCUCUGUUGUUCCUGACGAACCUCCCUUCUAUCAACAACGGAGGGGACUGACGGUAGGGAACGAGGAAGCCACGGCUAACUACGUGCCAGCAGCUGC